GGCGAACGCUGGCGGCGUGCUUAACACAUGCAAGUCGAACGGAAAGGCCCUGCUUUUGUGGGGUGCUCGAGUGGCGAACGGGUGAGUAACACGUGAGUAACCUGCCCCUGACUUUGGGAUAACUUCAGGAAACUGGGGCUCAUACCGGAUAGGAGCUCCUGCUGCAUGGUGGGGGUUGGAAAGUUUCGGCGGUUGGGGAUGGACUCGCGGCUUAUCAGCUUGUUGGUGGGGUAGUGGCUUACCAAGGCUUUGACGGGUAGCCGGCCUGAGAGGGUGACCGGCCACAUUGGGACUGAGAUACGGCCCAGACUCCUACGGGAGGCAGCAGUGGGGAAUAUUGCACAAUGGGCGGAAGCCUGAUGCAGCAACGCCGCGUGCGGGAUGACGGCCUUCGGGUUGUAAACCGCUUUCGCCUGUGACGAAGCGAGAGUGACGGUAAUGGGUAAAGAAGCACCGGCUAACUACGUG
rnacentral:rRNA from 1 species